AUUGAACGCUGGUGGCAUGCUUUACACAUGCAAGUCGAACGGUAACAGGGUGCUUGCACCGCUGACGAGUGGCGAACGGGUGAGUAAUGCGUCGGAACGUGCCGAGUAGUGGGGGAUAACGCAUCGAAAGGUGUGCUAAUACCGCAUACGUACUGAGGUAGAAAGUGGGGGACCUUCGGGCCUCACGCUAUUCGAGCGGCCGACGUCUGAUUAGCUAGUUGGUGAGGUAAAGGCUCACCAAGGCGGCGAUCAGUAGCGGGUCUGAGAGGAUGAUCCGCCACACUGGGACUGAGACACGGCCCAGACUCCUACGGGAGGCAGCAGUGGGGAAUUUUGGACAAUGGGCGCAAGCCUGAUCCAGCCAUGCCGCGUGUCUGAAGAAGGCCUUCGGGUUGUAAAGGACUUUUGUCCGGGAGCAAAUACCCAGUGCUAAUAACGCUGGGGGCUGAGAGUACCGGAAGAGUAAGCACCGGCUAACUACGUACCAGCAGCCGCCGCGG
rnacentral:rRNA from 1 species